ensembl:lncRNA
GAGCGUUUGAUCUCCGCUCCGUUUUUCAGGGAGGGUGCCGCCAGAAAGUCAAGCUUUCAGUAAACACAUUUUUUGAAGCAUUUUUGACUCAUGCCAUAAAGUCUCAGUGUCACAAACAGGGUCACAAACCCCGCUCUGACCAAGCUGGCCCUGAGAUCCUCCCCAGCUUGCCUGAGCUUCAGGCAGGCUCUUCUGACUCCAGACUCUCUUCCGCAGAGCAUCUGCUUCAGGGCCGUCUGCCUUCUGCCAGCCCCCGUCGGGACUGUCCCACCGGCUCACCCUAAAUUCCUCCCACCUCCCCAGGUCCCUGGAGCUCAGGUGAGUUCCGGUCCUUCUCCCCUUUUGCAGAAGCCUCAAAUAAAGUCUUCCUUGUCUGUUCAACAUUGCACCCUUUUUCUUUGACACACCACUCAUUUUUUCCAUUAUUUCUAUUUUCAGUUAUUUUUAUUUUCCUUUACUAUCUGUUUGAUCUAUACUGCAUGAGAACCCAUUAACUGCUUGUAGGGAUUAUGGUGCAGGGUUUAGAGGGAACGCUUGUCAAUGUGUGUCGUCACGGGUGUCGAUUUCCCGGCUUCAUGGUUGAAUGCGGUACGGCUACUCAGUUUCCAGAUCAGCUCUGAGAUUCAUGGAUGCCCUUGAGAUACACACACACACACACACACAGCAGCUUGUAGGAACCAUGGCAAUGACAGUCCCAUCCCUGGAGGACAGGAGUGCCACGUGCUGGUCGCUUUGACCUGGGAACAAAGUGCCCUCCUCUGAGUGUGGUGUGUGCUUGCAAUCCGGUGCUCGCUUUCAGAAUUUCUGGAGCACCCCUUGGACCAGAGGCUGCAGCAUGACAGAGGCGCAGGGCUCUCACAGGGCUCUUGACAUUUGGGAGGCGGUGGUGCUGUUGUUCUCUGCCUCUGAGAUAUUAAGCACAAGUCCUUGAGGAUGCUCUCUGCAUCCUCUUGCUUGUGGGGAGAAAGGAACAUUUUCCUUCUCUCGUGAAUGUGAGCACCAAGGGACCGAUUCAGUGAGAAGCAUCCUACCC